GACGCUUAGCAGUGGAUCACUCUCGACUUGUGUGUCAGUGAAGAAUGCAGUUAGCUUCGAGAAGUCAAUGUGAAUUGCAGGACACAUUGAUCAUUGACACUUUGAACGCACUCUGUAGACCUGGCUGGCCUCAAACUCACAAAAAUCUGCCUGCCUCUGCCUCC
rfam:Mesocricetus auratus contig006431, whole genome shotgun sequence.